rnacentral:rRNA from 1 species
GGAUUAGAUACCCUGGUAGUCCACGCUGUAAACGAUGAUCACUCGCUGCUGGCGAUACACUGUCAGUGGCCAAGCGAAAGCAUUAAGUGAUCCACCUGGGGAGUACGAUCGCAAGGUUGAAACUCAAAGGAAUUGACGGGGGCCCGCACAAGCGGUGGAGCAUGUGGUUUAAUUCGAUGAUACGCGAGGAACCUUACCAGGGCUUAAAUGCACUAUGACCUCCCGAGAAAUCGGGAUUCUCUUUGAGCAGAGUGCAAGGUGCUGCAUGGUUGUCGUCAGCUCGUGCCG